rnacentral:rRNA from 1 species
GCACAAGCGGUGGAGCAUGUGGUUUAAUUCGACGCAACGCGCAGAACCUUACCAGCCCUUGACAUCCCGGUCGCGGACUCCAGAGACGGAGUUCUUCAGUUCGGCUGGACCGGAGACAGGUGCUGCAUGGCUGUCGUCAGCUCGUGUCGUGAGAUGUUGGGUUAAGUCCCGCAACGAGCGCAACCCCCGUCCUUAGUUGCUACCAUUUAGUUGAGCACUCUAAGGAGACUGCCGGUGAUAAGCCGCGAGGAAGGUGGGGAUGACGUCAAGUCCUCAUGGCCCUUACGGGCUGGGCUACACACGUGCUACAAUGGCGGUGACAAUGGGAUGCGAAGACGCAAGUCCUAGCAAAUCUCAAAAAGCCGUCUCAGUUCGGAUUGGGCUCUGCAACUCGAGCCCAUGAAGUUGGAAUCGCUAGUAAUCGUGGAUCAGCACGCCACGGUGAAUACGUUCCCGGGC